rnacentral:rRNA from 1 species
AUGACGACGUCCGCGCUCUUGUCUGCCCUGCGUGGCGCUGGCCGCCGGCAGAUCACCGCCUCCACCGUUGCGGCCAGGCAAGCGACGGGUCCACAUGUCUUGAGGGUCGAUGGGUUCACGCGCGUCAGGGAGAAGGCCGCCAAUGGCACCGCCGUCCUGUCAAGCCCGUUCGGCGUCGGCGGUCACGACUGGCGUAUCAUGUGCUACCCGAACGGCGACACAGAGAAGGCCGAGGGCCAUCUCUCCCUCUUUCUCAUGCACGAAAACCACGCCAAGACAGGCGAUGCCACGGCAAAGUUCAAGAUAAGCGUGCUCGACCAGGCCUGUAAGCCGUACUGGUGUAGAAGCCAAGAAGAACACCGCUUUGUGAACCAGGGUUGGGGCUGGGACAAAUUCAUCAAACUUGAAGAUCUGGACAGGGAGAAGCAUCUGAAGGACGACUGCCUGUCCGUCCUGUGCGACGUCACCAUCGACCUCGGGCUGCGCACCGAUGACUACACAGCUGAGGUUGCCGCGGCGGAGCAGCUCAAGUUGGCGUCGCCCCCGUUCGACUUGCACGGCUUCGCGCUCUCGGAGGCCAUCUGGAACAAGCAGGCGGCGGACGUGAUGAACUGA